rnacentral:rRNA from 1 species
GGUCCCCCCCUUUAGGUUGGAAAUCCGAAAACGGGGGUAACCCGUUUUGAUGACCCCCUGUUCAAUUAAAAAGGGUGGGUUUUACUACCCCAUUAAAGAGGGCCCGGGGCCCUUAGUUUGUUGGAGGUACCGCUCACCAGGGCGCGGUGCGUACCCACCUGAGGGGGUUAUCGCCCCCCGGGGAAUGAAACCCCGCCCCAAUCUCUUAGGGAGGCAGCAGUAGGAAUCUUCCGCAAUGGACGAAAGUCUGACGAACAACGCCGCGUGAGUGAUGAAGGUUUUCGGAUCGUAAAACUCUGUUGUUAGGGAAGAACAAGUACCGUUCGAAUAGGGCGGUACCUUGACGGUACCUAACCAGAAAGCCACGGCUAACUACGUGCCAGCAGCCGCGGUAAUACGUAGGUGGCAAGCGUUGUCCGGAAUUAUUGGGCGUAAAGCGCGCGCAGGCGGUUUCUUAAGUCUGAUGUGAAAGCCCCCGGCUCAACCGGGGAGGGUCAUUGGAAACUGGGGAACUUGAGUGCAGAAGAGGAGAGUGGAAUUCCACGUGUAGCGGUGAAAUGCGUAGAGAUGUGGAGGAACACCAGUGGCGAAGGCGACUCUCUGGUCUGUAACUGACGCUGAGGCGCGAAAGCGUGGGGAGCGAACAGGAUUAGAUACCCUGGUAGUCCACGCCGUAAACGAUGAGUGCUAAGUGUUAGAGGGUUUCCGCCCUUUAGUGCUGCAGCAAACGCAUUAAGCACUCCGCCUGGGGAGUACGGUCGCAAGACUGAAACUCAAAGGAAUUGACGGGGGCCCGCACAAGCGGUGGAGCAUGUGGUUUAAUUCGAAGCAACGCGAAGAACCUUACCAGGUCUUGACAUCCUCUGACAACCCUAGAGAUAGGGCUUCCCCUUCGGGGGCAGAGUGACAGGUGGUGCAUGGUUGUCGUCAGCUCGUGUCGUGAGAUGUUGGGUUAAGUCCCGCAACGAGCGCAACCCUUGAUCUUAGUUGCCAGCAUUCAGUUGGGCACUCUAAGGUGACUGCCGGUGACAAACCGGAGGAAGGUGGGGAUGACGUCAAAUCAUCAUGCCCCUUAUGACCUGGGCUACACACGUGCUACAAUGGGCAGAACAAAGGGCAGCGAAGCCGCGAGGCUAAGCCAAUCCCACAAAUCUGUUCUCAGUUCGGAUCGCAGUCUGCAACUCGACUGCGUGAAGCUGGAAUCGCUAGUAAUCGCGGAUCAGCAUGCCGCGGUGAAUACGUUCCCGGGCCUUGUACACACCGCCCGUCACACCACGAGAGUUUGUAACACCCGAAGUCGGUGAGGUAACUCUUUCGGAGCCAGCAUCGCAGAGAACAGUUAGAUGACAUGAAAAA